UACGGAGGGUGCAAGCGUUAUCCGGAUUCACUGGGUUUAAAGGGUGCGUAGGUGGGCAGGUAAGUCAGUGGUGAAAUCUCCGGGCUUAACCCGGAAACUGCCGUUGAUACUAUCUGUCUUGAAUAUAGAGGAGGUGAGCGGAAUAUGUCAUGUAGCGGUGAAAUGCUUAGAUAUGACAUAGAACAUCGAUUGCGAAGGCAGCUCGCUACACUAUUAUUGAUACUGAGGCACGAAAGCGUGGGGAUCAAACAGG
rnacentral:rRNA from 1 species